GACGAACGCUGGCGGCAUGCCUAACACAUGCAAGUCGAACGGUAACAGGCCCUUCGGGUGCUGACGAGUGGCGGAUGGGUGAGUAAUACUUAGGAAUCUACCCUGUAGUGGGGGACAACCCGGGGAAACUCGGGCUAAUACCGCAUACGCUCUACGGAGGAAAGCGGGGGACCGCAAGGCCUCGCGCUAUUGGAUGAGCCUAAGCCCGAUUAGCUAGUUGGUGGGGUAAUAGCCUACCAAGGCAAUGAUCGGUAGCUGGUCUGAGAGGACGACCAGCCACACUGGGACUGAGACACGGCCCAGACUCCUACGGGAGGCAGCAGUGGGGAAUCUUGCGCAAUGGGCGAAAGCCUGACGCAGCGACGCCGCGUGAGGGAUGACGGCCUCGG
rnacentral:rRNA from 1 species